rnacentral:misc_RNA from 1 species
GUAGGUGAACCUGCGGAAGGAUCAUUAUCGAGUUAGGGUUCCUUCUAGGGCCCGAUCUCCAACCCUGUGUCUACCUUACCACUGUUGCUUCGGCGGGCCCGUCUUAAUUGACCGCCGGAGGACCGCAAGGUCUUCUGGCCCGCGUCCGUCGAUGGCCAACCACAAAUUCUUGAUGAAUAGUGUCGUCUAAGUAUAAAAAGUAAAUAAACAAAAACUUUCAACAACGGAUCUCUUGGUUCUG